GGUUGACCUCGGAUCAGGUAGGAAUACCCGCUGAACUUAAGCAUAUCAAUAAA
rnacentral:rRNA from 1 species